rnacentral:piRNA from 1 species
UGGACUUUUGGAAAGUUCAUAUCUGUGUGA